rfam:Arabidopsis thaliana chromosome 3, complete sequence.
GGAUGCGAUCAUACCAGCACUAAUGCACCAGAUCCCAUUAGAACUCUGCAGUUAAGCGUGGUUGGGCGAGAGUAGGACUAGCAUGGGUGACCUCUAGGAAAGUCCUCGUGUGUCAUCCC